rnacentral:rRNA from 1 species
UACGAAGGGGGCUAGCGUUGCUCGGAAUUACUGGGCGUAAAGGGCGCGUAGGCGGAUGCUUAAGUUGGGGGUGAAAGCCCAGGGCUCAACCCUGGAAUUGCCUUCAAUACCGGGCAUCUUGAGUACGGGAGAGGUGUGUGGAACUCCGAGUGUAGAGGUGAAAUUCGUAGAUAUUCGGAAGAACACCAGUGGCGAAGGCGACACACUGGCCCGUUACUGACGCUGAGGCGCGAAAGCGUGGGGAGCAAACAGG